UCCUGUGCAUCCAUAAAAAACGAAGAAGUUUGCAUACUACAACCCCAAUCAACACAAUGAUAUUAGCCUCAUCCUAGGAAGAUUAAGCCAAUGACAAUUGGGAAGAUGGAUCAACAUAUUAGCUUUGUAGAAAAAGAAUUGCUAGUUUGUUUCCUAAUGAAGUGGCAGUUAAACAUUUUCAUGAGGUGAAAAUCGCCGUGGGAUGAAACGAAAGGAUUGUGUUAGAAGCUCUUUUUCAUUUGUAUAAAGGCACCCUUCGAUGUUUUCAUUAUCCCCUUGUUUGAUAAUAUUUUUUUUCUUGCAGGUUGUAGGUUCGAUUGUUAGACAAUGUGUCAAUGUUCUCUUUUGUGACUAGGAACAAGAUGUAAGUCGUUUUGCUUCAAAUUGUUAGUUUUUAUUUCUUUUGGCAAUAAAUUUGGUUAUCUCAUGUACAAUGAAGUGAUUGUACCUAGGUUUUAAUUUAUAAGGACCGUCUGUCUUGCUAAUUCAUCAAUAUGGCCAUACAUUAUUGCCCCCUCUCAAUUUUUUUCCUGGGUCCGCCCCUGGUUCAACCCACAUCGUGAACUCUACCAUUAUAGUGCAUGUAUACUGUAAGUAAUCUUAUUUUAUGCGUAUGUAUGAGUGCGUGCGUCUGUAGUGUGUUAGAAAAUAUAUAUACUGUACAUAAUUGAAUUUGCAUUUUGUGUUGUUUGUACAUAAAGGAAACUUUUUCUGGCGGAUUUAUUUGUUGGGCUUUGGCCCAACAGAUUCACACAGACGUACACGACCUUCAAGUCUUCUUCUCUCGCACUCUUGGCUAAAAAAAAAUCUUCUCUCGCACUCACACCUUUGCCGUUUCUAAUCCUAAAAAGACAUGCUUGCUGUUUCUUGAUUCCCUUUUCAUUACCUUAUUUCCUCUCGCUCCUCCUUCCCCCCGAUGUGCUCUGGCUGUUAGCGCUAGUAAUUUGUGCUGCGGAUUCAAUCAACAGCACCUCAGUUUUCUCUCUUGAUUCCCUGCCGCGACCUUGCUCAUACUCACUUACACGCACACCUGCAGCUCAACUCACUGGUGCGGCCAUGGGGUGGCCGUCUACGGUGCCUGGUUUGGCUCCUAUACGGCUCGUCGAUCUCUCAGACCGGUCAACGAUGACGGAGUGGUAGCAGGGCCCAAGGGAGAAGCGGCUCAAGGGGGGGAAGCGAGCUCGUCGAUCUGGACGACGCCAUUGCCGUCGGCGUCUAUCCAGGUGAUGUGGGUGUGGAUCUUGUCUCCCGCAGACAGGUUGGAUCCACCUUGAUUGUGAGAUGCUGACGGCGUUGUUUUCGAUCGCAUCGUGGCUGCCCCCGAGCGAGGCAGCCCGGCAGGUCAUCUUCAUCCUGGACUGGCAGCCUGAUUUCGGCAGCUCAUUCUUCCACUUGCAGGUUUCUGUGAUGUUCUUUGGCCUACUUCCAUAAGCAUAGAUUGAAUAUCCGGCCAAGCUGUGUUGCACGUGAAUGCCACAAAUAGGUCUGUGUAUCAAGCCCAUCGACAUCUUGCUAUAGCAUCUUGGUAGUUUUGUGCUUGUAUCUGAGGUUAUCUAUGAAGCUGGAUGGCAGUAGUAUUCUCCUUCCUACCUCGUCAGCCCUUGUAUCUCCUCUUUAUGUUGCGUCUUGCAAGUCAGCAUAUAAUUCUGCUCUUAUGUUUCCUUGAUGUUUUUUGGUCCAGUCUAGUCUGUACUACAAAAUGCAUGCAAGGGCAUCCACAUUGAACUUCCGAAGUUGCUCGUUCGUUGAGGUUCUUCUCGCCUUGUAUGCAUGUCCCAACGCCCUUCUAAAGUUGCUCUUUCUUCAUACCAGAAAAUUGCACCAUACCAUUCACACUUGCGUCUUGGACUUCCGAAGUUCCAAAUUUCCAUAUCUGUCCUUUUCGAUGUCCUGUUUAAGUUUCUGAAUUUAGCAUCAAUUUGAAUAUUAGUAUGUUCUUUUUUCCUACUAAUACAACAAACUUAAUAGAACUGACAUAUCUGGUUAUUCUGCCCUUGAUUUUUUCUAUUGCACACUUUGUGUUACUUUUAGUCAUGUACACACGCUUAACAGAAUUACCAGGUUCAUGAAUGUCCAAAUUGUAGAUCUUAAUUGAAUUUUCUUGCUACUUACCUCGUAGUUUUACCACCUAUUCUUUCCUGUGGCAGUUCAACAAUGCUGAUUUUGCCUCAGUCAAUGCACAUGAUUGACAUCUGUACAUGAUAUGGUUCCCUGUGGUAAUUCAACAAUGCUGAUUUUGCCUCCGUCUUGAUUAAGCCAUGUUGCAUGGAAAUGUGUUUUCAUGUUUAAAAAAAAAGCUGAUAGGUACAAUCAGGAACAAAUGCAACAUGUUUUUGUGAUUUAAUAUAGCACUUGGAAGGAAUGGAACACAUAGAUAUCACAAUUGAUGCGCAAAGACGAAGCAAGCUAUAAUGAUGCUUCCAGUAUACCAUACUACAGUCGUGCAACAUGUAAGGGAAGUUUAGCAAUUGAAUUAAGAACAGUAAGUUAAGAUAGUGGAUGAUAAUACACAUAAGAAUACCUUUGUGAUGAUUUGCUUAUGGCACGCGGUUGGCAUAUUUGUGCAGUCUGGCACAUCUCCAUGUAUGAUCGAACGCUGUCUCUUGUUGUUGUCUUGAAGUUUCAUUCUCCUUUCCUAAUCCUAUCUUGUUAUUAUUGAUUGUCUGGAUUCACAUCAAUAUUAUAAUAUAUUUUUCCAUGCUUAAAUCAAUUAUGAACACAAAUGUGCCUAACUGGAAUUGUUGCAUUAUAUAAUUUAGGUGUAACAUUUUUGUGAUAUCGCUUAUUAAAAGUGCAUGAUUAGCAACGGAUCACCUUGUUGGAUUGUAUAUUUGAUUGCUUUUAACUACCUUGGCAAGUUUCUCACAUUAUUGCAAUGUGGUCCACCUUUUAUUUUCAUCGUUUCUUCCUGCACAAUAUAGAAAACAUGUGUUAGAGAAGGUGAUAUUGUAAAAUUGGUACCGAGUACUGCUGAAGGUUAUGGAGAUCUAUGAUUUUGAUUAAUUAUUCGUCUUACAAUUUUUUGUUUUGUUGUAGAAGUAAGGGAGAUCAACUUCCAAGAUCAGUGAUUGUGGUGAAAGCUUUAAUGUUAAAGUGGAUGUUAAGUUUCAAUCAUCAUGAUGAAGACACAUAUUUGUGAGGGUCUUUUACCCUUCUGUUGUUUUUAGAUGAUAGUCUAUAUGAAACCAUAUAUGGGUGAAGAAUUAGAUUGUAAUUGAGGAUGGCAAGUUCAUGCACAAUUACGAUUGAAGAAUCGCAAGGGAACUUGCCUGGUCUAAAUUUGAAAGCUAUUUGAUUA